AGAUUGAACGCUGGCGGCAGGCCUAACACAUGCAAGUCGAGCGGUAGAGAGGUGCUUGCACCUCUUGAGAGCGGCGGACGGGUGAGUAAUGCCUAGGAAUCUGCCUAGUGGUGGGGGAUAACGUUCGGAAACGGACGCUAAUACCGCAUACGUCCUACGGGAGAAAGCGGGGGACCUUCGGGCCUCGCGCCAUUAGAUGAGCCUAGGUCGGAUUAGCUAGUUGGUGAGGUAAUGGCUCACCAAGGCGACGAUCCGUAACUGGUCUGAGAGGAUGAUCAGUCACACUGGAACUGAGACACGGUCCAGACCUCCUACGGGAGCAGCAGUGGGGAAUAUUGGACAAGU
rnacentral:rRNA from 1 species